CUGCUCCUAGUACGAGAGGACCGGAGUGGACGCAUCACUGGUGUUCGGGUUGUCAUGCCAAUGGCACUGCCCGGUAGCUAAAUGCGGAAGAGAUAAGUGCUGAAAGCAUCUAAGCACGAAACUUGCCCCGAGAUGAGUUCUCCCUGACUCCUUGAGAGUCCUGAAGGAACGUUGAAGACGACGACGUUGAUAGGCCGGGUGUGUAAGCGCAGCGAUGCGUUGAGCUAACCGGUACUAAUGAACCGUGAGGCUUAACCUUACAACGCCGAAGCUGUU
rnacentral:rRNA from 1 species